AGGGACGUAAAUUCGUCCGUCCUCCGUUACACGUGGCGCCGUUUUAUUUGCUGAUGUUUUUUUGUAGGGUUAGACCAAAUGUAUCGACGGUUCGACUCAUUUUGUUUACUCCUUCUCUCUUUCUUUAUCCUCUCUUUCUGGACGGCGAUUUGAUUCCGAAGGAUGUUUUUUCAGAUCAAGCUGCCUGAAGCAUAGAGAAAUCUGCCGUCAAUUUGCUCUCGCCGGUUGCAAUAGAAAGAGAUUUGAAAAGAUAAAGUUUGUUGCUCUGGUCGGAUUUCGAAAGGGAUAGCAAGCGAGUCGACAUGCUUUCAUCUCAUGAAAGCCUCACAUAAGGAGAAAUCACAGAACAAGUAGCAACAAUCAGAGAGACAAAAGAUACUUCACAUGUGCGAAUGUUGAUGAUGGAGAGAUGCAUAUUCACAAGUGGUGGGAUGUAGCUGUCAUGGAGGAGAUGGGCGAGAUGAACAAACAAUGUCAAGUGCUGUCUGAGAAGGUGGAUAGCCUCACAAUCGCAAGUGACUAUGACUCGCACAUCAGUACUGAAACCGAGCAGAAAAUAGUCAUGUUAGAGAAGGUAGUGUUAGAGCUACGGAAGAGUAGAAAUAGGUUUAGAAAUGGUACAGAAUUGAUAUUCGUAAUUGCUAUUGUUGUAUGUUUAAUAUGUAUGGUGGUGAUGUCUAUGAAAUUGUAAUAGACAUCACGGGUAAAAGUUUGUGUCACGGGUAAAAGUUUGUGUAAUGUCAAAAAAACUAAGUUGCUAUUGUUGUAUUUUAGGAAUGAAUACAUUCUAAUGACAUUGUAUUUUUGUGUCACGGGUAAAAGAACGCAUGACACACAGCACAAAGAUUGAGUGACACUGCCUUCACGGGUAAAAGAAGGCAUGACACACAGCUGAGUCACAAAGCACAAAGCUUGAGUUCACGGGUAGCACAAAGCUUGAGUUCACGGGUAACACAAAUGCUUGAGUUCCUAUAUAUAUGCUUAUUCAACACCAAAGAAACAAAAUCAAAACCUUCUUAUCUUUUUCUACACUCCAAUUUUUCUCAACAUCAAAACAAAGAGCCCUUAAAUUUUUUUUUUCAUAUGGCAUCAUCAUCAAACCAUUACCACUACCAAAGAGACGAUGCAGAUAAUAUGGAUGGUUACUUUGAUGAUUAUUUUGAUAAUUUUCUCGAAAAUUCUAAUAUCAUUCAAGAACCAAUAGAGCGAACGCCACAGAUUUUUAUAGAGAGAAACCGGGAAGAAGGCCACAUUAAUCUUUGGAAUGAUUAUUUCAGUGAUACUCCAACAUACCCGGAGUAUUUAUUCCGGCGAUGGUUUCGCAUGCACAGGCCAUUGUUCAUGCGUAUUGUGUAACGUCUCUCUACAGAAGUCGAGUAUUUCCGUCAAUCCCAGGAUGCAACCGGUCGGGCUGGUCUGUCACCUAUUCAAAAAUGUACUGCAGCCAUUCGCCAAUUGGCAUAUGGUACUGCCUCCGACACAGUAGACGAGUAUGUACGAAUUGGUGGUUCAACGGCUCGGAAAUGUUUGCACGAGUUUACCGCCGGAAUAAUCUUGUUGUUUGGCGAUGAAUACCUAAGACGUCCCACACAAGACGACCUAGAGAGACUACUCUAUCAAAAUCAACAACGUGGAUUUCCCGGGAUGGUUGGGAGCAUUGACUGCAUGCAUUGGGAGUGGAAGAAUUGUCCAACAGCUUGGAAAGGGAUGUACUCAUGAUCAACCGGAAAACCUACAAUCGUGUUAGAGGCGGUAGCUUCGUAUGACCUCUGGAUAUGGCAUGCUUUUUUUGGAGCUCCAGGUACUAUGAACGAUCUUAAUAUUCUGGAUCGAUCAAAUGUUUUUGAUGACAUUCUUAACGGUAAUGUUCCGGAGGUCAACUACUUUGUAAACGGAAGGGAGUACAAUUUGGCGUACUAUCUCACCGAUGGUAUUUAUCCCAAAUGGGCCACAUUUAUACAAUCGAUCCGGCUUCCACAAGGACGGAGAAGAUGUGGAUCAAACAUAUACCGUCGGUGCCGCCAGUUUGGGUUCAAAUAUGAGCAGUACGAUUACUCGUCGAACACAUAUGCGGGAUAAACAAGUUCAUGACCAGUUAAAAAAAAGAUUUGAUUGAGCAUAUUUGGACAAACUUUGGACAUCUUCCACAUAAUGAAGAUUAAUCACAAA